UUUAUAUGCCGUUUCUACAAAUGUAUAAUAUUAAUAUUUCCUAUUCUGUACAUUUUCUGUACUGCAAAUUCCCACUGAAAUCUGAGAAGUAUACGUGCAAAAAGAAGGCAGGAUGUAGAACAGAUGAUGAGUGUUAUGCAAGGGUUCACAGUGAAUUACUUGGGCCAAGGAUCAAAUGAGGGAUUAAGAAAAAUAAUAUAGAAACAGUGGGCUCUCCAUUGACUUAUCCUAAAAGCUUUAGAUUUUAGGGCCUGUUUUUAAACAUUUUAUAAACUGCACCAUUAAAUGUUUCUAAAGCAGUCUUCACAGUAGUACCUGAGCUUCUUACCAUGCAGUUAAAAGUGUCUCAUUUAAAGAAAAGAGGAAUUCCUUACCACAGACUCUAUCACAGAGUGUCUACACAGACACACUCACUAUCAUGUUAUUUACAGAUUAAUUCUAUAUGAAGAAUUGUUCUAUAAUAUAUCAACUAUACUUUAAACUCUAUUUUAUUUUUAAAACAGAACAGCAUAGAACCAUUUUCUUCCUGUGGAAAUUAACGGAGUCUAGACCAUUGGGAUUAAUCCCACUUAAUCCAGUGGGAUUAAGAUAAACUAUCUGUAAGAGAUUACUUAAUAUUGUCCUUGUCACAAUUAGUAUUUUUAAGUGAGUAGAAAACAGGGUGCCUGGUUAUCUGUUUAACAUAAGAACAACAAAACUAUUAAAAGCUGAACUGAAAAUAUUUGAAUAUUUAACAAAAGAUGUAGUUAUGCUCUUGAAAGAAUGGGAUACCAUUUUUUUCACAAAAAGGAUUCCUCAGAAUGUAUUUCCCAUAAUAGCCGUUAGACCAUUCAGUGAAGUGAUAGCUAUUGGUUUUUUUUUUAAUUAAUUUUCACUGUUAGACAGAGUUCAAGUGCAGGGGUGGGGGACAGCGGGGCAAUGGAGCUGCGUUUGUUGCAGGAGGAAGAUUUGAGUGGUAACACUUUAUCUUUCAGGCACAUCACAUUGCUACUACUUUCCUUCUGCAGCACUGUUCCAGUGCUGCCUGAGAGGGGCCAGCCAGUGUUUUGUUAUCAGAACACCUGCCUGAACAUUCAAUCCGCUCUGGUAAAUGGAGCAGGCUCGCAGGACAAACUGCACUAUACCAUUAACAAGAAAAAGUCUUGCUGCUCAAGCUCUCGGAGGAGGAAAGAAACUUAAAUUACAGCCUCUAAACCCGGAGGAGGAAAGAAAUCAUCAUUUCAGCCACUUUUUUGACAGCAGUCAUGUAGGUGAACACUAUUAUAGAAUUUUUCUCCCUGCAUGAUUCCCCUUGUAUUGAGUGCAGAAUUUGAUCUGAUAUACAGAGAGGAUGGGUGGAGGAGAGUCUGUCAUUGGGGAUCAUUGUACAUAAGCUAUCUACUCAGCACAGUGGUUCGAGUGAAGAUCUGAAUAUGCAUGAUGACAACCAAACAGUGAUUAUUAGAAUUAGGAAUAAAGACUUUGUUAACAGGCUGAUCUUAACUAGU
rnacentral:lncRNA from 1 species